rnacentral:rRNA from 1 species
AGUGAACGCUGGCGGCAGGCCUAAUACAUGCAAGUCGAACGGCAGCACAGUGGAGCUUGCUCCAUGGGUGGCGAGUGGCGGACGGGUGAGGAAUACAUGGGAAUCUGCCCAGUCGUGGGGGAUAACGUAGGGAAACUUACGCUAAUACCGCAUGCGCCCUUCGGGGGAAAGCCGGGGACCUUCGGGCCUGGCGCGAUUGGAUGAGCCCAUGUUCGAUUAGCUAGUUGGCGGGGUAAAGGCCCACCAAGGCGACGAUCGAUAGCUUGUCUGAGAGGAUGAUUAGCCACAAUUGGAACUAGAAAAGGCCCAGAACCCCAAGGGAGGUAGCAGGAGGGAAUAUUUGAAAAGGGGGGCAAGCCCUAACCAGGCAAGGCCGCGGAGGUAAGAAGGCCCCUGGGGUUGAAAGCUCUUUUGUCCGGGAAGAAAAGCAUCGGGCUAAUACCUCGGUGUUCUGACGGUACCGGAAGAAUAAGCACCGGCUAACUUCGUG